UGGGGAAUAUUGGACAAUGGGCGAAAGCCUGAUCCAGCCAUGCCGCGUGUGUGAAGAAGGUCUUCGGAUUGUAAAGCACUUUAAGUUGGGAGGAAGGGCAUUAACCUAAUACGUUAGUGUUUUGACGUUACCGACAGAAUAAGCACCGGCUAACUCUGUGCCAGCAGCCGCGGUAAUACAGAGGGUGCACGCGUUAAUCGGAAUUACUGGGCGUAAAGCGCGCGUAGGUGGUUUGUUAAGUUGGAUGUGAAAGCCCCGGGCUCAACCUGGGAACUGCAUCCAAAACUGGCAAGCUAGAGUACGGUAGAGGGUGGUGGAAUUUCCUGUGUAGCGGUGAAAUGCGUAGAUAUAGGAAGGAACACCAGUGGCGAAGGCGACCACCUGGACUGAUACUGACACUGAGGUGCGAAAGCGUGGGGAGCAAACA
rnacentral:rRNA from 1 species